rnacentral:rRNA from 1 species
AUUGAACGCUGGCGGCAGGCCUAACACAUGCAAGUCGAGCGGAUGAAGGGAGCUUGCUCCUGGAUUCAGCGGCGGACGGGUGAGUAAUGCCUAGGAAUCUGCCUGGUAGUGGGGGAUAACGUCCGGAAACGGGCGCUAAUACCGCAUACGUCCUGAGGGAGAAAGUGGGGGAUCUUCGGACCUCACGCUAUCAGUUGAGCCUAGGUCGGAUUAGCUAGUUGGUGGGGUAAAGGCCUACCAAGGCGACGAUCCGUAACUGGUCUGAGAGGAUGAUCAGUCACACUGGAACUGAGACACGGUCCAGACUCCUACGGGAGGCAGCAGUGGGGAAUAUUGGAAAAUGGGCGAAAGCCUGAUCCAGACAUGCCGCGUGUGUGAAGAAGGUCUUCGGAUUGUAAAGCACUUUAAGUUGGGAGGAAGGGCAGUAAGUUAAUAACUUGCUGUUUUGACGUUACCAACAGAAUAAGCACCGGCUAACUUCGUG